GUAUUCCUUUUUAUCCUUCCUUUCUUUCUCCCUUCUUUCCUUCCUAUCUAUUUUAUCAUGAUAUUAUUAAUCCGUUCACCAUUACGAAAAUACCUUCCACCUUAUAUAUAUAUAUAUAUAUAUAUAUCAUACGCAUGACUCUACACAUGCACACAUUAUCAUACAUACGUACACACAUAAAAACAUGCACACGCAUUCUAUUCUCGAUCACACGACACAAUGUGUUCGUCGAAUCGAACGAUACUUGCGAUCGUGGGAAGUUAUCGUUCGAUUCGAAGUAAACCGCUUAUUAAUUAUUAUAAUAACAAAAAAAAAAAAAAAAUAAAAAAUAUAGUAUAUGAAACAAAAGAAAUAUUAUAUAACGAACUAUAUCUGAUCUACCUAAUCUUACAAUUAAAGAGGCACCGUCGAGGCGGCGCGUGCUUCCGAGAAAAUGGCGAGAAAAGAAAAAAAA